rnacentral:tRNA from 1 species
UCCCGUGUGGCUCAGUUGGUAGAGCAUGGUGUUUGCAACGCCAGGGUUGUGGGUUCGAUUCCCAUGGGAG